rnacentral:lncRNA from 1 species
CCAGAGUUACCUGAGGAGGGGUGAACAGCAGUCAUGGCUCAAUUUGCCCAGGUUCUAGCUGAAAUAGGUGACUUUGGUCGCUUCCAGGUACAGUUGACGAUCCUGAUGAGUAUCCCCAACUUCCUGUCCCCCUUCUAUAUGUUUAGCCAGGUCUUCAUGGUCCUGGAUGAGGCCCACUACUGUUCAGUGGCCUGGGUCAAGAACCACACUCUCAACCUGAGUGCAGCUGAGCAACUGACACUGAGCGUGCCUCUGGAUGCUGAGGGCAGACCUGAGUCCUGCCUCAUGUUCCGGCCACCCCCCAAUAACGCCAGCCUGGAGGACAUCCUCAGCCACCGCUUCAAUGAGACACAGCCUUGUGAGACCAGCUGGCACUAUCCUGAGGACAAGCCCCGAUCGCUGUUGAACGAGGUAAGGCUGGCCUUGUGCCUAUCUGUCCACUUGUCUUGGUCCCUCUGCCUGACCCUGCACUGACUGUUGCUGUCUCUGUAACUCUUCCUGUGUGGUUGACCAUUUUUAUGCCUGUUUUACCUUUUGCAGUCACCUCUUUUCUCUUUGUCCUCUGCCUGUUGGUCCAUCUAGUCUCUAUUUUCUCCGUAUGGUCUGCCUGCCCAGCUCUCUGUUCAGUUUUGCCUGUCCUUUUGUCUCCAAGCUUGUCCUUCUGUCUGUCUGCCCAGGCACCUGCCUUUAUGCCUGUGCCCUGUUUUCCUGUUCUGAUGCUGCCUCUCUCUACCCCGUGUUCCUAGCUGUCUAUUUCCCCUUGUCUUUCGGCUCACCCUUGCACGUCGGCCUGAUUACCUGUCCUGUGCUUUCCUAACUCUUAGAUUGUUGCUUUCUCUGUCCACUUGUUUUCCAUCCUGCUUGCUUGACUUGGCUUCCUACUUUCCGGCUUCUCUCUGUAGGUCCCUGCCUCUGGGAUGCUGGAGAACACUCUCGACUCUUAAGACUCAUCCUGUGGAUAAUUAAGCACUUGCUCCUACUAACUUCAUUCUCUUAGGAGAGACUUGGGUACAUUUACAGAAAGAUGCUCCCUCUAGCCACUUCGGAGCAAGAGGGGCCCUCAGAAACAUCUAGCUCCUUCCUGUGUGGCUUCCCGGGUGGUAAGGUUUAGACACAGAGUCCCUCUCCAAGGACCUCUGGUGGUCAGGGAAGACCUGGACCCCUUGUACUGGAGUAGAGGGCUAGGUGGCCUCUGAGACCCAGAAUUUGCUUUCUCCUGAAGACAACUUUCUAAAUGAAGUGUUAAUGUGAGCUGGGCAACAAGAUGCUCAAAAAUGUUGCCAGAGAAGAGUUUUUUUUGCAGAAAGAGUAUCAAAAGAAAGGCCUGGCAGCCAGAAACAGGUGGUUUUCAAGGUGUAGGUAACUUGGUGUGCCUGGAAUAUGGGUGGUAAAUGUAAACUAGGAUUUGUAGGGGAUAUUUUCAAGGAUCUGGCACCUGUUUUGCUGUUGCUAUUUGUUAAAAAGUAACUUCCCCUUUAAAAAACCAGCAAAUGACAAACAAAUUUUCUUGAUUGCUACCUGAGUUUCAUCAAGCACUGGAUCUACUCAAGGGGGAAAAGAAAAGGCACCUGUCAAGGAAUGUUAUAGUUUGGAUCUCCAAUGUCCCCCAAGGCUCAUGCUUUGAAGACCUGGCCCCCAAUGCAGUUCAGAGGUAUAACUUUGGGGAAGUGAUUGGGUCAUGAGGGUUCUAAACUCAUUAAUAUUCUAAACUCAUUAAUGUUCUAAACUCAUCAAUGUCCAUUGAUGGAUUCCUAACUAAACGACUCCUAUGGAAUGGUACAAACUGUAGGAAGUGGGACCUAGUAGAAGGGAGUGGGUCCUUGGGGGCAUGCCUUAGGGAUCAAGAAAUAAAUGAGUUUGCUCCACCACAUGACCCUUAUCAGAACACUCUGCCUCACUACAAGCCCAUAGCCAUGAGUCCAAAUGACUGAAACCAUGAGCCACAAUAAAUGUUUCCUCCUUUAAGUUGAUUUCCUCAGGUAUUUUGUCAUAGCAGAUGGAAAAUUGACUAACAUGAGGAAUAUAUUAAUAAAUGACAGCACACACCUGAAGCCCUUCUUUAGCUACAGGAGGCUCCAGGGCAACUAAUAUUACUGUGUCUAACACAUUGAUUAGGCCUUUCCAUGUGAGUGAGAAUACCCCAUUUGACAGCCCUUUGGUCAAGGACAGCUUUUCUGAAGUCUUCUAUUUGCUCUUGGCAAAUUUCUCAAUAGGAGAGGGGUCAUCUCUGAGAUCAAUCUGUGUCUCAACAAGCAAGAUGGUAGAUGCAUUAUCUCAGGCACCCCAUUUUCUUUUACUUCUAGUGAGGUCAGAGACCCCUGAAAAACAGAAAAGAAACACUUUCAUUUGUGGAUGUUCAACUGCCAUAAUCUCUCAUAAUUGGCUUGUCCUACAGUGUCAAAAAGGUCAAGAGUCUAUGGCUCUCCACCAAUCCGGUAACUGCAUACUUUUCAAAAACAGCACAUACUCAGGUGGAGAUUUGUUUGUUGUGUUGGAGUCAAGGUUCCCAAUGGCACCAUGGCUCCCAGCAACACACUCAGUGGUCUGCCUCACUGAAAUUGUUUUGUAUCCACUUGAUCCGACGUGCACAGACCUGAAACUGACUUCAGCUUCUUCAACAACCUGUGGGCAGCACUCAGAGGCCUCAAUUCAGCCUCAGUCAGCAGCCUAGUCCAUGUUGGCUGGGUUGGGCCUUGGACCUCUUACCCUCCCACUUCCAACCCUUCCAAGAACUGUGACUCUCAAGGGAAUGUACAACAUUGGGACUUUGUGACCUGUGCCACAGGACAAUCUAAGCUUGGUUCUAGAGCAGAGCUCCCUUGGAAUGAGAUCUUCUGCUUCUGCUUUUUUUUUUUUUUUUUAAUCUAUGAAAAAGAGCUCUGCACACUGAUGCAGAAGGUCCUCUCUAAGUAGACACCCCAGUGUCCUUAGUAUAACCUGUGGCUUCAUAUUCAAACCAAAAUAAAAACCACAGUAAUCUGAAAAGAAAAAACAUGUUUCCUUAAGGCUACAUGCCCUUGAAGGUCAUAGUACCUGUCUAUUUCUUACCUUAUCAGUGUAAUAUUUCCUGGCUCUGUCCAUAUAGAACUCUGAAGGGGAGGGAAACAGACUGUCAACGAAUAGCAGAAACAGUAGCACUUUUCCUGGGAUUGUGGACAACGUUGGAAUGGCAAAGAAUGAGAAUCAGAAAAAACAGUCAUUUUUAGGGUCUGGAGGUAUAAAAAUGUCUGGCAUCUUUGAGGAAUACUCAAAAAAAGAAGUUUGGAAAUUCUUGUAGGGUUACAGGUUCAGUGCUGAAGAAUAUGGGAUUUCUGCUAGAGAUCCAAGAGGGCCUUGAAGGUUUUAGAAUAAGGAAGACAUGCUCUAGAAAUGAGGGUGGAAUUCUGCAAGUCACUGUGGCUGUCCCUGAGCAGAACCAAACACUAUUGGUGUUAGGGCUGGGGAGGUGGAUAAAUGGCAUCCCAAGUGCAGUCCUCUUCAUCUCUGCGCCAUUUGCAACAUGAUGACACUAUGUGAGUUUGGGUGUACUUUGGCACCUCUCCAAGACACAGUCUCUGCUGCUGCUGAACAAUGGACUAAGUGUGAGAAUUUAAUGAUAUAAGGGGUAUAAACUAUAGGGAGGUAGUAGAAUUGUGACUAGUGACCAGAGGUGCCAGACUUGGAAGACCCCCAUAGCUUGGCAUUCAUGCCUGCAGAACACUGUAGCCUUGAAAGCCUGGUGAGCACAGGGCUAGUGUAGCCAUCCUACAGAGCUUUACUGAGCGCAGCCUGUAUAACAGCCACCAAGCCAAGUAUGUCACAUGUGUUACUUCCUUUAAUCCUAUCAGAUGAUACAUACCAUAUAGCAGGUUUUAUCACCAACUUUGUACACGUUGGAAACCAAAACACAGAUGGAUAGACUAACAGGCUCAAGGUUACACAAAGUCACUCAGUUCUGACCCUAGAGCUUGGCAGUUGCAAGCCUUUAUUUAUUUUAAAUGGUGUGUUACUACAAAGGCAAUCCAUAGUUACUAGGCAAAAACAAACAGGAUGGACCAACAGUUAAGAGCCCUUCUGUGUCCCAUGUCAUUCUCAGGGGUAAUCAGUUAAUCAUUUGACAUCUACUGAAAGUCCUUAAAAAUUAACAGUUGUCCUUGAGAAUGGAAGUGUGAGCACAGUGGUAACUCCUGGAUUGGUUAAUUUCUUGCUAAAGAUUAUUUAACUGAUAGUGAUUGACUGGUCAUCGAUGUGCUGGCCUUGGUUCCUUUGCUCGUUUUCAGCAAACAUUCCCUUAGACUCCACUCAGUUUCAUUCCCUGUCUAGACAAUAGAAAUGUGUCAGUUACACCAGCUGCCAUCCAGCUGUGGGAUGUAGGAUUAGCUGCUAACCUCCCUCGGAGGAAAAUAACAAUAAGUCAGUGGCUGUUGUGGCAGUGAUCUGAGGUAAUACGUGUAAAGCGCUUAGCACCCUGUGCAUGGCACAAAACAGGCACUCAAAGGCAUCCUCACAGGAGGGAAGCUGGAGGAGGGUUCACAUGGCACGUUCCCCUACAAACACUCAUGUGUAAGCUGAGUUGUGUGCAAAGGGUGCAGAAUGCCCAUGAGGGAGUCAUGUGUACUGUACGUGCACAUGUAGCGGACAUGUGUGCAGAGCUGUGUGGAUCCACGUAUUUUUUCCACUUCAUUUCCUAGACUCUGGAUUAGGCUGUCUCUAAGUCUCCAGGUGGGUUGGCAGCUUUUGCCCAGAUGUAUCUCCCACCCCGCCCUCCCACUAUGUGUAUAUGUUCCUCUGUCCCAGUCAGGUGUGUGUGAAUGUUCCUUAUUGCCUGUGUUUGGUGAGUGUUUCAGGGGAUUUUGCAGCCAGAUGAGAAAAUUUGGAGAGGCCCAAGUGGGUCACAGGGAUGCCUGAGCUGAGGGGAAGAGACCCUACUUACUUGUCAGGAUGCAACCAUCAGUGGUAGAUCAUAGGCUCUCAAAUUUUAUAUCCUUAAUGUGUCAGGGAUUAUACAUGGUACCUUUAGGCUAAAAGAAAUAUGGUUCUAUGUAUUGUUAAGUCCAAAGAAUAACACGUGUUUAUGUCCUAACAAUUUACUAGUGGUUUGAAAGAAUAGUACACCUAAAUUCAAAGAAAAAACAUUUUAUUUCAUUCUUAAAGAAAGGCAACAACUUAUUAAUGGGAUGUAUGUGGCUCCUGAGCACACAUAGUUUCCAAGCCCUUGGAUACUGCUAGGUCCAUUUUUGGUUCCCUGCUGAUUUGUACAUGGUUUACUUUUUUGUUGUUGUUGUUGUUGUUCCACAGCUAUUACCCAAAACAGGACUUCACAGAGAUAUGAUGUCAUUGACAGAAAAGUAGGGUGAUCUCAUGUUGAAGUACAAACUUAUCCUGGGCUGGUAGUUUUGUGUCAUGUCAGACAGAUGUCAAAUAUCACUCUAUUUAUUUCCCUUUGAAUAUACUCUGCUGUGCCCAGUGAGUUCACUGUAGUACCCUGGAGUACCUUGGAACACAGUUUGGAAACCAUAGACACGAUCCCUAAAAGAGAGGUUAAGGGCUAGGUGGUGAAGAACUUGCCCUCAGCACUUCCCCCAGACUCACAUCUGCCUGUAUUUGCUUCAGUUCAACCUGGUGUGCCAUCGGAAGCACCUGAAGGAGACCUCACAGUCGGUGUUCAUGUCCGGACUCCUUGCUGGGGCCCUUAUCUUUGGGCCCCUCUGUGACUGGUAUGAACCUUGACCCGCUCUCCCCUGACCUAGCAUGUGUUUAGACUCCUUAGGGCCCAAGUUUCCCCGAGUGCCCCUCAUGCCGGCCUCCAGGAAGAGGCCUGGUUCCCACCACCCUCCAUGGGGCUCCCAGAGAAGGGCCACGUCUCCUCCCUCAGACAGCCCAGGUGAGGCCUGUGGGGUUUUACCUGCUUCCUCCCCAGCAGGGCCCCUUCCCUUACCACACACAGCUCUGCUUCUUUACCUCAGGAUUGGCCGCAAAGCCUCUCUCCUGGUGCAGCUGCUCCUGACUGCCUUCGUGGGCCUGGCCACGGCCUUUGUGCCCAGCUUUGAGUUCUACAUGGUCCUGCGCUUUGCUGUGGCUACCGCUGUCUCUGGAUUUAUGAUAAGCACUGUUACCCUGCGUGAGUACCCUGCCUGUGGGAGCCUUGUCAGGCACAUACCUUGCCCAUACCUGAGGCAGUCCCAGGGGAGCUUCUCGUGCAGGGACUGAGGCCUGAGGACUGAGGACAUGCUGACCUGGCAGCAUCUAGAGAGUGGCAGGGAGUGAAGGGGCAGGGUGUGGCCCAGUCUCAGCUUUUCUGUCCCCACAGUUUCAGAGUGGGUGAGCCCCUUGUGGAGGACUCGGGCUGUGAUCCUGGCCCAGUUCACCUUCGCCUUGGGACAGAUGGUGCUGGCAGGACUUGCAUAUGGUAUCCGCAACUGGAGGCUCCUUCAGAUUGCUGGCGCUGUUCCUUUUUUGCUGUUCUUCUCGUACAUCUGGUGAGGAGCCACUUGCCAGGAGCAAACCACCCCUAGGCCAGCUUUGUGGGGUGGAAUGCAGUGAUCACACUCACCUCCUGGGGCGGUCGGAGGCUGGCCUGGGAGAGGAAGUCUCCAAGUAUGGAGGUGCGGAAAGGCUAGGAAGGCUCCACGGGACUUCAGACCCCAAGGUCACAGCUGCUCCUGGUCAACAGGAUUCUGCCAGAAUCUGCUCGGUGGCUCCUCACCCAGGGGAGGAUAGAGGAAGCCAAACAACUAGUUCAGAAGGCAGCCUCAGUCAACAAGCAGAAAAUCUCCCCAGAGCUUCUGGACCAGGUACUUCCAGCAGGCCAGGGCUUGUCCCUGCCCCUGAUGCUGACCCCCAAAGAGCCUCUGCAUGACCCCUCACCCUGCAUCUUCUUUCAGUUGGCCCCAGAGAAGACAGCCUCCUCAGGGAAUGCCUUGGAUCUUUUCAGACACCCCCAUCUCCGGAAGGUGACCCUGAUUCUCAUCUGUGUCUGGUGAGUUGCCCAGGGCUCAUGCCCCUUCCUGAGGACAGUGCCAAUACGCUGCCCCUUCCAUGGCCACUUUUCCCGUGUGUCCACCAAGUGGUGGGAUGGUAGCUCUCAGGCUGUGUGCUCUCUCCCUAGCUGUGCUAGUUUCUCCUUUUGUGACACUGACCAAGGCAGGCUCGUCCUCUGGAUGUGAUGGUGUUGAACACUCAGCAAUGACAGGAACCCUUGGGUGCCUUACAGGUUUGUGGACAGUCUUGGGUACUAUGGCCUCAGCCUCCAAGUGGGAGACUUUGGCCUGGACAUCUACCUGACACAGCUAAUAUUUGGAGCCUCUGAGGUGCCUGCCCGCCUUCUCAGCAUCUUCAUGAUGGAGAAGUUGGGACGCAAGUGGAGCCAGAUGGGGACUCUGAUUCUGGGUGGCCUCAUGUGUAUUAUCAUCAUCUUUAUCCCAGAAGGUAUGACUGGAUGUUUCCCUCCCUCCCUGACCCCUGCUGCAGGGGCUGGACCAAUGGCCAUCACUCUCCUGUCGGGAGUAAAGGUUUCCCCAGGGUUUGGGUACAGAAGAGGUGAGGAGUUUGGGUGGACAAGGUGGCGGGCAGGGCCCAAGUGGUGGGUGGCCUACUUUACGUGUGGUUGACCAGCAUCUUCCAGCAGAUAUGCCCUUGGUGGUCACCGUGCUGGCCGUGGUGGGGAAGUUCGCCACUUCUGCUGGCUUCACCAUCUCCUACUUGUACACUAUUGAGCUCUUUCCCACCGUCGUCCGGUAAGAGCUGCUGAUAUGACUCUUGCUUUUCUGCUUCUAGGGCCUUGAUUUUGGCCAGUCCUCUGCUACCCUCACCACCAGCCCACAAAUAGUUAAUGAGGCUGGUUCUGGGUCCCUGACAACCAGAGCUGUAGUGCAAGUCCUCAAGUAUCUCCAGGCUGGCAGAGGACAGAUAUGGAUGUAGGCCAUGGCCUGGCCUUGUCAGGACAGGAAUGUGGGAGAAAUUUCAGAAUGAAUGACCCAGGAGAAGAAACACUCAGAUGAGGGAAGGGGUGGUUGGGAGCCAUAGCCUUUGACCUUAGAGGGGGACAGGUCACACAGGGAACAGGCAGACAGGGAGGCCUGGAGGUGGGAGGUACAUGCAGGGGCAGGAGCACUAAAUAAGCCAGAGGAGACUGGAGACCCUGCUGGCCUUUGGCUGGGGGUGUGGGGGGGUGCUACAAUUAGGGGUCUGGGGGUAGAGCUGUGGCCUCAGGUUGAGGCCUAUUCUGCUCAAAUUUUACUGGCCUUCCUGCAGGCAAACAGGCAUGGGGCUGGUGAGCAUCUUUUCAAGAGUAGGUGGCAUUCUCACACCACUUGUGCUCCUGCUGGGCGAGUACCGCAAGGAACUCCCUAUGCUCAUCUACGGCAGCUUCCCCAUCGGGGCAGGUAUACUCUGUAUUCUGCUGCCAGAGACACGUGGCCAGGCCCUGAAGGACACCAUCCAGGACCUGGAUCAGGGGCCCAGCACACGGUGAGCAGCUUUCUAGCUUUGAAGCCCAGGACCUGGGCCCCACAUCAGAGGCCCCUCUACCAGAAACCCAGACCUCCUCUUCACCAUUAGUCCAUCAUUGCUUAGAGGCCAAUAUGGAUCCCUGUGGAACCACACAUCUUACUGACCUUGGGUCAGAUUUCCCGUAUUUUCAGGAGGGAGAUGGUGAGGGGUGAUGCCAUGGGACCAAUUUCUGGACAACAACGAGAGCCUUCUUUUCCCUGCAGAUCUCCGACGGCAGUGCCCCCAGAGAAAGAAAUGGACGCUACGGGAAGAAGUUCUACUCUAGGGGUGACCACUGUGAGCAGCACAAAUUUCUGAUUGUGGUCUCUAAGAAUCAGACCACCAGCAGCAGGAAGCUGCCUACACAUCCCUUUGUGUCCCCAAGAGGACACAGAUGAGCCUUGUUUAUAGAGGAGCGCACAGGACAUGGCCCCAGCUCUCUGCCACUGCUGAGUCCAAUCCUGGAAGCAUCUGGGACAGGACUUCCCUCCUUCCUUCACCUCUCUCAUUCCCAGAGCCCCACUCCAAUGCCCCGAGUUAGGGUCUUGGGUGUGUCAUGGGCUUCAUUUGUUCUCUGAUAGUUUGUGGGGCUAUGGCAUCCUGGUCCCUCAGUCUGGAGCACCCCCUGCCCCCCAAACUCAGUCAAAUCCAGAGCAGAGCACUAGAUAGGGCCUUUCUGAGUAGUGGGAUCAAGUGGAGAGGAAAUAAAUUUUGAAGUUGUGGACUCUAGGCAGCAGGUAGAUAAAGGGCUGUCGAUGAGGAGAAGGUUGUAGUUUCUUCCAGUGGCUGGACCAGGCCCCUCUGGCUAAGGUGCUAGGACCUUCAAUCCUGCUAAGAGAAGACUGUCCUACAUUCUCUUUGAAGUUGCCCCAUCCCCUGCCCCACACUUAGCUCUUGCCUAACCUACGUGAGGCUCAGGGAUGAGCUCUGCAGAGGGAGACUACAUGGCUCUGCCCCUACCCACUGUGCUCUGCUGCUUCUGGCUCUUCUAGGGCCCAGGCAGGGAAAGGAGAAGGACAUAGGUCUUUAUACUUGGCCACCAGUCACUGUUUCCAGGUUUCUACUGAUCUUCCAGUGCAUUUUGACAGGCUUCUUACCUCUGGCUCUUCCGUGGGGCCAUAUUCAUGAGACUUUCAGAGAUCUUCUCUGGGCCACUGUGUUGUUCCUUAAUAUGAGCAACCUCCUCUUUAGACCCUUCUUCAGUUCCCACCCUAGCGUUGUUCCAUAUAGUAUUACUGCUGGCAUCCCCAGACUUUAGAAGACCACCUUGUUGGGUGGGGGACUCCCAGCAAGCUACUUCAAGCCAGGUUACCUUCCCCAGCAUCUGUUUGGCCCACAGAACACCAUGUAUCAUUGCUCCACCAAGUGGUGGAAAAAGAGCUUGCUCAUUCAUUUUCCCCAGUCCUUGCUCCAGCUCACCUCCUGCCAAGAAGAAGAUUUUAGUUUUUUUUCUCACAGGCACCCCUUAGAAGGGUUUUGUAUUAGUCUUUUUUCCAUUACUAUAAUGAGAUACCUGAGACUGGGUGAUUUCAUGAAGAGAAGAACUAUAUUGAACUCACAAUUCUGGAGGUUUAAGGGCAUGGGUGUGAUAAGGGCCUCAUGGCAGAUGGCAUUGCAGUGGCAGGAGUGUGGGGGAGAGUGAGAGAUCACAUCACAAGCCAGAAAGAGCAGAGGGGCCACUAAGCCCCAUAUCUGGAAGGUGUUGUCAUCUCUCACAUUGCCACACUUUGGCCCAAGAUCCCAAAACAUGAACCCUUGGUGGGGACGGCACUGAAACCAUUUCCAAACCAUGGCAGGUUCUUCCAGAAACUUCCUCCCUUGCAUUCAACUUUUCUUAUAUAAUGUACAGAGGUGGUCAGUGAUGGACCAGUUCUUUGUGCAUCCAGCAUGGAAGUGUCCAGAGCCUCUCUUUCAAAUACAUGGAUAUUUCAUACAGUUUUGAAGUGAUGGGUAAAAGUUCUAUUCAACUUCCUACAGCAUACAAACUCAUCAAAUACCAAGCUAAACUCUCCUUGUAGGGACACACAGAGUCUUCCUUGAUAUAAUGAGCCACCCAGGUUGAAAUUUCCAAUAUGUGAUGGCAAAACAAAACAAAACACACCCUGAAUAGAUUUAGGGAAAGGACCAUUUCAGAGUUGCAGGGAGUUUCCUCCCUAAGAUUCUGGACACAUGCUCCUCAAAGGAGGCAAAGUGCUUGUCAUUCCUGGAAGAGCCUUAAAGGGGACCCUUUGUUGACACCAGUGUAAAUGCAGAGAUUCACCUAAUGCUUUUGGGAGUCUUUCGGGAUUUUUAUUUUUAGGAAUUAUGGGUGCUUGGAGACAAAAGAUCUUUCUCUAUGUAUUUAUAAGUAUCCCCAGGCUUGUUCUGGUUAGUGGGUAAAUGUUUGUCUUUUUGCAGUUGCUGAUGGGAGGUCACUAGCUGGUACCUGUCGGACGCCUGAUCUCGUCUUAGCCCUGAGGAGCACAGCAGAAAGGGGAUCUCACUGUGCCAGGCAGUGGCCAGCAUAUGCCAAAUGGUGGCUGUCCUCCAGAGGGUGUUAUUGAAUACAGAACAACCCAUAUUUAUGGCACAUACUAGCAAUGAACCUACCAAUAUUAUGGUUGGUUUUGUAGGGGUUGGUGCAGGACUCAGAUCUCAAGCCUAACUGGCAGGAGUACCUCCCAUUCUGGGUCUCAGCCUUCUUAUUUUAGAAUGCUAGCAUGUAUGAGACCCUGGGUUCAAUCCCUAGCACCCCACCACCCCACAAAAAAGAAAAAGAAUGGACAAUUUCAUAGGUCCCUUUGCACAAAUCCUCCAAGAUUAUAAUAUUGGGAGCCCUGACUGGGCAUGGAGAGCAAAGGAGUCUAGCAAUCUGCCCUUGUCAGGGGGACCUCUGAAAUUAAAACUACCAUUCUUCUCAUCUUGUGUUCUCUGCUUCCAUUUCCAAAGCCUAAGCUGUCCCCAUACUUCCCCAGCCAAACUGCCCCUCUACCUUGACACUGUCCCCUAUAAACUAUCUUCCACCUCACCCAGUUCUACCCACAGGUACAACUUGUAUAUGUUAGUCAGCUUUGUGUCACUGUGACAAAAUACUUGAGGAAAAAAAUUACAGGAGGCAAAAUUUAUUUUGGUUCAUGGUUUUAGAGGUUUUAGUUCUUAAUUGUGGGCGUGUGGUAAGGCAGAGGAAGCAUGUGGCAGAAUAAAGAUACUUACCUGACAGCAGCCAGGAAGCAGAGAGAGAAGAAACAGCUGGGGACAAGCUAUCGUCCCCAAAGGCACAUCCCAAAGCACUGGCUCUCUUCAACUAGAUCACAUCACCGAUAAUUCCUUCAUCUCCCGAUAAUGCCAUCAAGUCACAAAUCCAACAAUGGAUAAAUACAUUGAUGAGGUUAAAGCCCUCAUGAUCCAAUCACUUCUCCAAAUUUCCACCUCUGAACAUUGCUGCACUGGGGACCAGGACUUUGACAUAAGUCUUUGACAAAAGUCUUCAUAUUCAGACCAUGACACUGUAUCUCUGGAACUGCCACUCAAAAGCCAGCAGAUGUCCCCACAUCUUCAGCCCUUCCUGGAAGGUUUUGCAUCCCCAGCCUCUUCCUCUGACUCUGAGCUUGCUCACAGCUGGGGAGCUGUGGGAAAGGGCUCUUUACUCUCCACUGCUUCUCCACCAUUAUGUCCCCGCCUUCUUGUAAAUCCCCUGUUGUGGUGGCCUCUUUCUCUCCCUUGCUCCCACCUCUUGACCUCCAGAUCACACAGUCCGAUUCAUCUAAAACUCCUGCCUGGUUCAGUCACCCCUUCUCCUCCAGAGCUGCCAUCCUCAUAGGAAAAUCCCUCUCCACCUCCAAUUCUUAAAGACAUUUCUGGCAUAUAAAUGAAAAGAUGAAUGGCCCUCUAACUCAGACGUCUUGCCUUCUGACCACUGCAUUCCAUCUUGGUCUCUUUGUCUCAUUCCCAACUGACCUAGCCAUCGAGGGUUGCCACAGCAAAAUAUCAUAAGACAUUUCCUUAAAACCAGAAAUUUAUUUUCUCAAAGUUCUAGAUGCUAGAAGUCCAAAAUCAGGGUGCAGCAUGAUUAGGUUCUGGUGGGGGCCCCCUUCCUGGCUUGCAGAUGGCCACCUUCUCUCUAUGCCCUCACACAGACUUUCCUGGGUGCAUGUGCAAGGAAAGGAAUUUUUCUCUCUUUUUUUAUGAGGCCACUAAUUUCAUCUGGAGGAUCCCACUCUUAUCUAUGACCUUAUCUAACCUUAAUUAACUCCCCAUGGUCCCAUCUCCAAAUACAAGAACAUUGGGGGUUAGGGUUUUGAUAUGUGAAUUUGGAAGCAGGGGAAGAUACAAGCAUUCUUCCUAUAACACUAUCUUUGGUUUCAUUGGGGCCCUCUGGUCUGCUGACCCUUUGCUUUCUCCCUACCUCUCUCUGUCCUCUCUACUCAGAUGAGAGAAUGGAGCCAACCUUUUAAUUUCUAUCGAGAGAGAGCAUUUCCAUCUCUGGCCCUACACUUUAGUUCUUUUACCCUGUGGUUGUUUCCCACUAGCAAAACCACAGCAGCAUAUAAGCUCAAUUAUCUGCCUGCUCUUUCUCUGCACCCCCGACCACUGGUCAUUGCUAGAGAGUCACAUGCUGGGCAAGUCUAUUUUCCAUGGAUUCAUGGUUGCCAGCCUCAACCAGAUCUGUAAGGGCCCAGGACCCCUAGCUAGCUUGCUUUCCAUCUCCAAUGGCCAUUUCUAACCUCCACUGGGUGUGCUUCCCAUCCUCCACUUCCUCACUGAAAGCACCUUCUCCUCCUUUUAGAAAUAGGGAGCCACCAUGUGGCCAUUCCCUAGACUGCCCACCACCUAAUCUUUCACCUGCCCCUCAAUGUUCCCUGCUGCUGCAUGAAGGGAACCAUCGUGCACAGAGAUGGCAGUGACACCACUAAGGGCAAGGCCCUUUCCUCUGCUCCCCCCUCCAACCCCCCUCCCAGACCUGGGAGCUGCUGAAGGCAGGGCCUUUUCCUUAUCAGUCUCUCUUCUCUAUGACCCCCCAUCUUAGGCAAGGGGUCUGGGCAAUCAGGCAAGUUUGUGGGGACCUCUGAAUUGAAUUUGCUUUUGCCCCCAACUUUCCUUUGAGGUGAGAGAUUUCAGCUCCUGAAGUUUCUCCUGAUCCCACUGGUCUGAUGAGUCAUUGGCUCUCAAUCAAGCCAGGAUCACCACUGGCCAGAGAGUCCAGGCCACUUGCCUACAGAGGGGCCUGGGACAGGCCUUGACAGUCAUCUGUAUUGGGACUGGGAAAUGUCUAGCUUCCAAGUUCCCAGGACAUGGCCAGGGUCUUCCUGGUGCUGACCUUUCCCCUGCAGGUGGAAGUGGUGGCCUCCCCAGUGCCUGGUUGCUUCCCUCCUCAGAGAUUUCAGCAAUGAGGACCAUCAGUCCUGAGCAUUCAGCCCAGGUGAGUGGAAAGACCCUGAUAUUUACUAACUUUCUCAGUCUCUGAUCAAGAAAAAAAAAAUGACCUCAUGAUUUUUAAGUAUAGAUAAUUAACAUCUGUUGCUAGUAUGAGUAAACUCACAUGUGUAAGAAAUAGUAUGUUUCUUUGGAUUAUGCACUUCUGCCUCACUGAGCUGAUGGAACAUUCUGUCCAGAGACUGGGCCAAAAGACGGGGGUCUGUUAUAACCAGAACAAAGGGGACUCCUCACCCUGGUCAUCAGCCUCAUGGAAGACUGGUAGGUGCCACCUGCUUGGUCCCUUUGGCCCUAGCAGUGCUGCUAGGGGAAUUCAGAGGAGGCUAAGGGGACUAGGACCAGCCGUUCAGGUGACCCACAGACAUCAGGGAGGCCUGGUAAAAGAGGGAGGAUUGCAGUGACUGCCCCAACACAGGAAGACUGAAGCCAGAAGUAAAUCUCAAAGUCACUGGAGGGAGGUUUCCCCGUGAUUAAUAUUUCAAUGGCUUUCCUCAAAUAUAGGGAAAUCUUCAAAAAGUGUUUUUAAUGUAUUUUGGUGCCCCAGUUUUGCCAGCAUCCGGAGUACAUGCUGUGUUUCCGAUCAGGGAAUCAAGCAGCCCUGGAUUUCAGCCUUCCUUGCUGUUCCUGUCUCUCUGGGCCCUGUGCUGGGCAGUGGGCAGUGGAGAGAGCAGGGCACGUGGGGGCGAUGUCCUGCUUGGCUCAGACUGUUCAGAGAUACCAAGCUUCUCUUCUUCAGCAAGGGUUCUUCAAUUCCCCUGUAGGGCCUGCCUCCUAAUGGGCCCUAUGCUGAUUCCCCACCCAUACUCCACACCAAGAUUAGAACCAUGAUCCCACAAACUGGCAGAGGAGGCUUCUGGCUCAUGGGAAAGUGGUUCAGAGACAGGUGGCUCUGACCAAGACUGGUUGGCUGGGGUGUGUCCCAGACAGAGCAGAGGUGUUGGGGGCAGGGACAAGCUGUUCCCAGCUGUGGGAUCAGGAAGGCUUGAAGGACAGCUGACAACCAAGUGGUAUCUCGACAGAUGGGAGAAUUUCCCUCAGUGGAGGUAGGGCCCUCCUGGGAGGGUGGACGUUGCAGGUACAGGAAAUACUUUGCACAAAGCCACAGAGCUGGUUCAUGUGCACAAUCUGUCUUGUCCCAUUCUGUCCCUAGGGGCUGUGCCAGUUGUGCCCCUGGAAUAGAAUGCUGCCCUCACCAUUCCCAGCCCACCCUCUCCACCCCAUUAUGACACUAUCCCUUAGCCACCGAUGGAACCCAAGGGUUCCGCUCCCAAGGGUCUGGCUGGCCUGGACUGUGGUCAGGUGGGCCCUGGCUUUGGCUGUGGUCCUAUCUCCAGGGAGGAGGGCCUGGGAGGGUGUGGAGGGUGUCAAUUAUGAUAACACCUGGCAGUUGUGGGGCCAUGUUUUCAGCGCAGAUGUGGACAGGAGCCUGCCUGGGCCUGUUCGGCUGUGGGGAGUCUGUGGAAAGAGCAGGCUGCCCUCACGGAAAGCGUGAGUUCUCAGGCGUGGCAUCUGGCCAUUUCCCGUCCUCAGGUGGAGUGCUCCUCCUGGCCAUACCUCUUCUAGGCCUCAGCUUCCUUUGUAUGUUGAGAGCCAAUUGCCUGGGGCCUGCCCACCUGGCAGAGGACUGUUGGGAUCAGUUCAGGGAGGGGGGCUCUGGGGCCUUGCAGACUAUCAGCCUCUGUGGGUAUUCAGGUGGUGCGAGGGAACACUGAAAGGGACCCUGCAUCAGGAAGCUGGGACAGCUGGGGCUGUUUAGAAACCAGAUCUGUUAGGUUCCCUCCUGGUUUCCCUGGGCAGUCUCCUUCACCCACCUCCUCCCCCCUGGUCUCCACCCAGUGCCUUGGUUUUCUAUGGUCCCUGUAACACACUCACACUUGCUAGCUUAAGACAACACACAUGGAUACUUUAUAACACCAGGCUCUAGUCAAGGGGUCAACAGGGCUGUACUCCUUUCUGGAGGCCCUAGGGGAGACUAUUUCCUGACCUUUUCCAGCUUCUCCAGGCUGCUGCCUUCCCUGGCUCAUGGCCACCUUCCAUCUUCAAAGCCAGCAAUGGCCAGUGGAAUCUUUUGAAUGCUGCCUCUCUCUGAUUCUGACCCUCCUGCUGCUUCUUCCACAUACAUGGGACCCCAAGAUUACCUUGGGCCCCCUUGGCUAAUCCAGGAUAAUCUCUUUGUUUUAAAAUCAGACCAUGAGUAACCUUAAUUUCAUCUUCAGCUUCAGUCCCCUUGUCACGUAAGUUGACAUAUUCACGGGUUCUGGGGACUGGGAUGUGGACAUCUUUGGCAUGAUCAAUCCCCAGCCAACUAACUCCACUCCUAUAUCCAGGCAUGUGCGCUCUCUGCUCCUCCUUCUAUUCUUAUUGAUAUCAAGGAAUUCCAGACUCUGGGGCUGGGAAGGAGAUGUAGACAGUGAAAAAGGAAAGAAUGAUGCCAGGCGCCUCAUGUUGGCAAAAAUAAGAAAUAGCAUGACCCAUGCCGAAGCAGAGUGGCUCCUCAGUCUGACGAAGUGGACCCUGUACAGCUUUACCAUGUGGGCAUACCAUCCCAUUGGCCAGAAUUUACAAAGAAGAUGCUGAAUUUAUGGGAAAUCUGUGAGCAGCUAAUUCACUCUGUAAGCCAGAGAGAGGCAUCCAUGGGGACUAGCCAAAGGACAGGUGUCUGCAGGCUGGAUUUGUCCAGUGGGCAACAAGCUGGAGACAUCUUGCCUGGAUUAUGGAAUAGAAGAGUCAUGGUCUGGGAGGGAGGCAGCCUUCUAGUGUGGCUGGUAGGAAACUAGGGGGAAAGGGAUGUGUACUUGAGUGUGUGUCCAAGCAGAGAGCGAACUCCUCUCCAUUCCUGUCUACUCUGUCCCAGAGUAGAGUGCAGGGCUUACUGUGGCUCCUGAAAGUGAUCCUAGCCAUAGCUGGGAUGAGCAGGGUAGCAUGGUAACAUGCUAGGUGAGGACCACAUGAGGGCUGAUGACCAGAUUGGGCCACUCUUCAAGGGCCAGGCUUAAGGGGAUAGAUUUGGUGUGUGCAGCUUGGUCUUCCUACAGCUUCUCACCCUCUGGCCCCACAACUGUGCAAACCCCAGCCAGGCAAGAGCCCCUGGGUCUCAGCCAAGACCCUUCUUGAAAGACCUUUCUGGAGAAACCUUCCUGGAUGACAGAGAGUCUGCAGGGAGAUUGACAGAAAUGAGAGGAAGAGAUGCCCAAGUUCAUCAUCUGAACUCUGUCUCUGUGUAUCUUAUUCAGUACUCAAGAAACAAGUUUCUAUUAAACUAAAGGCCAGAGCACAGGACAAGUAUGAACACAUGUAAGGAUGUCCCUUCAGAGGACCUGGCCUGACAUUAUAGGUGUUCAGCCUCCAUCAGAAUAAAAAGAAACAACAAGGACAGAGAUGGGACAGUGUCCCAUCAUACCCAUGAAAUGACCAAAAAUCAAUACAAACCAUAAAGCCCAGGGCUAGUGGGAUUGUAAGGAAACACAGUCACAAACAGCUGUAGAAUGAAAUAGUUUUCUCCUUUUGGGUGACACCUGGACAUAAGGUAUAAGGGUAAUCAACUAGUCCCAAUUCUUGGACACAAGCCCCGGGACAGAGAGCCCUCUGCACAAUGAUGGGUACAAAAGAGUUACCUAGAAUCCCGAGAAGACAAUGUGGAGACCCGGAUGCUCAGCAGCAUGACAAAGUAAACAAUGCCUUGAUGAAAACUGCAGCCAGUAACGAGGUCAUUGUGAGAUGAGUUCAGGCUGUGGAAAAUACAGAGAGCAAGGAAGAGCAGGCAAAGGCUCACAGGACGCCCUAAAUGACAGAUGUCCCUGCCAUCUCCAUCCAUCUCCAUCAGAGGACAAGCGUUCCUGCAGAAAGGAUGAGAAUGUGCAUUUUAGGAAAGGGUCCUUGUGCACCUGCGAACCCUUCGCCCAACCAAAGAACCAGAGCAUUACUAAUGACUUACACCCACCUCUUCCCCAAAUCUUCCCUCCUCCCCCAAGAGGUGAUUACCCUGAAUUUCAUCCUUGCUGUCAAAAAAUUUGCAAAGCAUACCUAGACCACAUCUAGCUUUGCUUGCUUUGGAACUUUAUAAAAAGCUCAAACACCCAACUGGUUUUUAGACUCCUCAUGUUAAUAGAUGGAGCUGAGGCUUAUUCAUUUUCACUGCUGUAUUUCACUAUGCAAAUAUAUCACAAUUGAGGCCUUCUGCUCUUGAUGGGCAUUUGAGCUCUUUCUCCCCACGCCCUUAUUUGAAAUGCGUCAUGGACAUUUUUGUUCUUAUGAAUGAAAAAUAGAUUCUACCCAGUCAGUAUUGUUAAACUCUCAAGUUUUGUCAUCAAAUCAGUGUAAAGAUCUUAUGGAUUUGCUUUCCCCUCAUUGUUAUUGAGCUUGAGCAUCUCUUUCUAUGAUUGCAGGUCACAUGAACUUCCUCUUCUUGAAAUGCCUGUUCAUGGCUCUUGCCCAUUUUACUAUCAUCAUAGUCUUAUUGAUUUGUGGAGGUUCUUGACAUAGGCUGAUCUCCAUCCUUAUUAGUUUGUGUGUAUACAAGUAGCUUCUCCCAGUUGUGGCUUUUUUUUUUUUCUACUUUUAAGAUUUUCCUUUUUAAGUAGUGGGAUUCAUUUUUAAAUUUUAUUGUUAGCAUAAAAUAGCAUGUCCUGAUUCAGAAAAUCCUUCCGCAUCCAAAAGUCAGAAAAACAUUCCUCUGUAUUUUCUACUGAAAGUAUUCGUCUUGAAACUUAAGUCCUUAAUAGAAUUGGAAAUUUUAUGACAUGAAGAAUCCAAUUUUAAUUAUUUUUAUUUUAUUUUAAUUAUCUAUAUCUGUCAUUCCACUUUUUCUGUUUCAUAUGUUGAAACUUUGCCAAGAUAUAUUUCUGGGAUUUCCAUUUAGCUGUUCCUCAGUUAAUACUACAUUGUCUGUAAUUAAUAUAACUAUAACAAAUUUGUAUAAUUUUUAUAAUUUUGAUAAUGAUGGUAAAUAAUUCCUCUUUAACAUUCUUUAGAAUUCGCUUAGGUAUUAAUACACUUUCUUUUUUCCAUAUAAAUUUUAGAAACAUCUUGCCAAAUGAUUUUUUGAAAAAUACUAUUUGGGUUUUUAAAAUUUUUUUUUUACAUUUUGAGUUUGACUAGAGUUUUAGUGAAUCUGUAGAUUAAUAGAGGGAAAAAUUAACAGCUUUUAUUUAUGACCAUCAGCUAUCUUUUAUUUUUCUUCCUUAUCACAUUCCUAUAGAUUUAAUUUUAUACUCAGGUCUUGAACAUACUUAAGUCAUUUUUUAAAAAUUGUAGUAAAAUGUACACAGCAUAAAAUUGACCACCCAUUUAUUGAUUGGGUUAUUUGUUGUUGUUGUUGUUGUUUGGUGUUAAGGUUUUUGAGUGCUUUAUAUAUCCUGGAGAUUAGUGCUCUAACUGAUGUGCUUGUGGUAAAGAUUUGCUCCUAUUCUGUAGGCACUCUAUUCACCUCACUGAUUGUUUCUUUUGCUGAGAAGAAGCUUUUUAGUUUGAAUCCACCCCAUUUAUUGAUUCUUGGUUUUAAUUCUUGUGCUAUAGGAGUCUUAUUAAGGAAAUUGGGGCCUAAUUUGACAUGAUGGAGAUUUGGGCCUACUUUUUCUUCCAUUAGGUCCAGGGUCUCUGGUUUAAUUCCUAUGUCCUUGAUCCACUUUGAGUUGAAUUUUGUGCAUGGUGAAAAAUAGAGGUUUAAUUUCAUUGUGUUACAUGUGAAUUUCCAGUUUUCCCAGCACCAUUUAUUGAAGAGGCUAUCUUUUCUCCAAUAUAAUUGGUUUUUGGUGCCUUUGUGUAAUAUGAGAUAACUAUAAUUAUGUGGGUUUGUCUCUGUAUCCUCUCUUCUGUACCAUUGGUUUACAGGUCUAUUUUGGUACCAAUAUCAUGCUGUUUUUGUUACUCUUGCUCUGUAGUAUAGUUUAAUGUCUGGUAUUGUGAUGCGCCUCCUGCUUCACUCUUCUUGCUAAGAAUUGUUGGUAGGCUUCGGAUGGUGUCCUCUAUUUUCUUGCUUAAAAUUGAUCUGUUUAAAUUGUGUAUAUCAUCCGAUUUAGUUUGGGCAUAUCAUAUGCCUCUAGAAAUUUGCUGAUGCCUUUGAUAUUUUCUAUUUUAUUGGAAUAUAAAUUUUCAAAAUAAUUUCUAAUUCUCUUCUGUAUUUCUUUAGUGUGUAUUAUGAUAUUUCCUUUCUCAUCAUAUGUAUGUUAGUAAUUUGAGUUUUCUGUCUCCUCUUCGUUAGCAUGGGUAAUGGUUUAUCAAUUUUAUUUAGUUUUUUAAAGAACCAACUUUUUGUUUUGUCAAUUUUUUCAAUUGUUUCUUUUGUUUUGAUUUCAUCUCAGAUUUUAAUUAUUUCCUGUCUUCUGCUGCUUUUGGGUUGAUUUGUUCUUCUUUUUCUAGGGCUUUGAGAUGUAAUGUUAGGUCAUUUAGUUUUUGACUUUUUUUUUCUUUAAAGGAAUGAACUCCAUAAAAUGAAAUUCCUCUUAAUAUUGCCUUCAUAGUGUCCCAGAGAUUUCGAUAUGUUGUAUCAGUAUUCUCAUUUACCUCUAAGAAUUUUUUAAUCUCCUCUUUCAUAUCUUUUGCAACCCACUGUUCAUUAAAUAGCAUAUUAUUUAGUUUCCAGCUGCUGGAGUAACUUUUAUUUUUUAUUUUAUCCUUGAUUUCUAAUUUCAUUCCAUUGUGGUCUGAUAGAACAUAGAGUAGUAUCUCUACUUUUUUAUAUUUACUAAGAGUUGCUUUGUGGCAUAAUAUAUGGUCUAUUUUAGAGAAGGAUCCAUGUGCUCCUGAAAAGAAAGUAUAUUCAUUUGUGAAUGGACAAUAUAUUCUGUAUAUGUCAGUUAAGUCUAAGUUAUUGAUUGUAUUAUUGAGUUUUAUAGUUUCUUUGUUUAGCUUUUGUUUGGAAGAUUUAUCCAGUGAUUAAAGAGGUGAUUUAAAGUCACCCAGAAUUAUUGUGUUGUGGUCUAUUUGACUCUUGAUCUUGAGAAGAGUUUGAUGAACAUAGAUGCUCCAUUGUUUGGGGCAUAUAUAUUUAUAACUGUUAUGUCUUGUUGAUGUAUGGUUCCCUUAAGCAGUAUGAAAUGUCCAUCUUUAUCCCUUUUGAUUAACUUUGACUUGAAGUCUACUUUAUUUGAUGUGAGGAUGGAAACCCCGGCUUGUAUAUGCAGAACAUGUGAAUGGUAUAUUUUAUCCCAACCUUUCACCUUCAGUCUGUGGAUGUCUUUUCCUAUGAGAUGAGACUCUUGAAAGCAGAAUAUUUUGGGUCUUUUUUUAAAAAGUCCAAUAUACCAGUCUGUCUUUUGAUUGGUGAGAUUAGGCCAUUAACAUUUAGGGUUAUUAUUGAGACGUAACUUGUAUUUCUGGUAAUUUCUGUAUUUAACUUGACUUGGUUUCUCCUUUGGUUGGCUUUUCUUUUAUUAUAGUUCUUUCCUUUGCAGAUUUUCAUUGUUAUUUUUCAUUUCCUCCUUGUGGGGUAUUUUGCUAAGAAUGUUCUGUAAUGCAGGCUUUUUUGCGGUAAAUUCUUUUAGCUUUUGUUUACCAUGGAAGGUUUUUAUUUCAUCAUCAAAUCUGAAGCUUAAUUUUGCUGGAUAUAAGAUUCUUGGUUGGCAUCCAUUAUCUUUCAGAGCUUGGAAUAUGUUGUUCCAGGAUCUCCUGGUGUUGAGGGUCUGGGUUGAAAAAUCUGCUGAGAUCUGAAUUGGUCUUCCCUUAUAAGUAAUAUGAUUUUUCUCUCUUGUGGCCUUGUAUCUUGGCAUAGAUCUGAUGUAAUUGUGUACAUUUGGUGUCCUAUAGGCCUCCUGUAUUUGAUUUUCUAAUUCAUUCUUCAUGCUUGGGAAAUUUUCUGAUAUUAUUUCAUUGAAGAGAUUGUGCCUUCCUUUGGUUUGAAUCUCUGAACCUUCCUCUAUCCCAGUAAAUCUUAAAUUUGAUCUUUUAAUGGUAUCCCAUAAUUCUCGGAUAUUCUGUUCAUGGUUUCUUACCAUCUUCACUGUGAGGUCAACUUUAUUUUCAAGAUUGUAUAUUUUGGGGCUGGGGUUGUGACUCAGUGGUAGAGUGCUUGCCUACCACAUGCGAGGCUGUGGGUUCAAUCCUCAGCACCACAUAAAAAAUAAAUAAAUAAACAAGAUCCCUUGCAAGAAGAAAUCAUAAGGGAAAUUUUUAAAAAUUUGAAAAUGAGUAAUAAUACAAUUACCACAUGUCAACUACAACUGAAAAAUCAAUAUUAAAAAAAAGAUUUUAUAUUUUGUCUUCAUUGUCUGAGGCCCUAUCUUCUACUGAUAGUGUAUUUCUGGUAAUUUUUUGUUUAUUUUUGGUAUUUAACUUGACUGGGUUUCUCCUUUGGUUUUUUAACUUGAUCUAGUCUGUUGGUGAUGCUUUCUAUUGAGUUUUUUAUUUGGCUUAUUGUUUCUUUCAUUUCAAGGAUUUCUGUUUUUUUUUUUUUUCAGAAUCUCUCUUUCUUGAAGUAAUCUCUUGCUACCUAUAUUUGCUCUCUUAUCUUUUUGUUGGUGUGAUCUAUGGUCACCUGUAUCUAUUCUCUUAUUUCUUCAUUGGAGUGAUCGAUUUUUGCCUGUAUUUGCCCACUUAGGUCAUUCUUUAAUUCCCAGAUCAUUUUAGUUAUGUAUAUUCUGAACUCCUUCUCUGACAUUUUAUCUACUGCACUAUCUAUGGAUUCUAUGGUUGUAGUAUCUUGGUUUGUUUGGGGCACUUUUCUUCCUUGUUUUUUCAUGAUGUCUAUGUGUCUUCCUCUCUUGCAGUGUAGCUCCAAGGUAUUACAGCUUCUGCCCUAUUAUCUUAUAGUGUCCUUACAGAUUACCAAGACCUCACCUUUAAGGGGGAGAUCAAUAUUACAGCAUUCAAUGUACCCAACAUGCAGCUAUAGAUCCGUUAGCUUCUAUUUUUACAUGUACAGUUUUGUAGCUACAAUCAGAAAUGAUGAAUUUGGUUAUCUUCUACCAUAUAGUCAACAGAUUUGCAUAAUGGUUUACAGUUUCUAAUGGUAGAAGGGGGACUGGGGGGGUUGACUGAGAUGUUUAUGAGUAGGAUGUGAGAAUAAAGAGGUAUUAGAUUAUGUGAUUAGUGAGAGGGUAGUCAUAAGAAGUUGGCUGUUAGUAGGAGAAACAAGAGACAGGCAACCCCGUGCAAGACUCCCUGUUACCUUAGCAACAGGAUAACUAUUAUCACCCUUGGUAGAGAUAACCUCUGGUGCAGCCAGGCCCACAGGGACCUUGGUGAUGUCUUACCAGGUCCUUAUUGUUGUCCCUUGAUAGAAGUGGCAAUAUCCCAGUUUUUUAUAUAUAGGCAGCCUCAAGCCUAUGUGUACCCUAAUGUUGGGCUGUAGAGCCACGCUUUGGUGAAUAAGGAACACCAGCGUGGGGUGGGCCUCUCCGUGCAGGCACAGGACAUGUUUCUCUCCUGGUUGCCAGACCAUGCAGACUUUCUAUUUCUUUAAGCCUUAUAGAAUCUAACAAUCUGUUUUGAUUAAUUUUGUUUUAGGAAUUCAAUUUGCCUAAGUUUUCAUAUGUCUUAGCAUAAAGUUAAUAUUAGAAUUCAGUUAAUAUUUUAAAUUUUGCUGUAUUUGGAUAUUAUUUUUGUAUAUAUAGAAGACUCACUUGUACCUUUUUAUUUUUUUAAUAUAACUUUAGAGGUUUGUCUAUUUUAUGAAUCUGUUGAAGAACCAAGAAUAGGAUCUUUUUGAUCCUCUUAUUAUAUAUUUUUUUCAAUUUCCUUUAUUUUUGUCUUAACCUUAUUAUCUCCUUUACUUAGUUUGAAUUUAUUCUUUUGUUAUUUUUCACAAAGUGCCACUUUUUAUUACCAUCCACAACUUUUGACAUGUGGAAAUUAUAUUAUUACUCAUUUGCAAUUUUUUAAAAUUUCCACUAUGAUUCCUUCUUGCAAGGGAUCUACAAGAUUUUUUUUUUACUUAAAAUAUAUAGAGAUAUCUAUAUCUAUAGUUCAUGUCCAUGGACUGAACUACUCCUCUUGUUAAAAUGGUGAUUCUUCCCUGCUGACUUAUAGAUUCUAUACAGUCUCAAUCAAAAGCACAGCAAGUUGUUCUAUAGAUAACAAACUGGUCCUAAAUUUCACAUAGUAAAUCAAAAAACCUAGGAAAGCCAACUUAAUAGUGAGGAACAACCAAGUUAGAUGACUCAAAACUACCUGAUGUCAAGACUUACUACUAUAAAGCCAACACAGUCAAGAUUGUAUGGUAUUGAGAGUACAUACAUAGAUUUCUGGGACAGAAUGGACCCAUGCAAGUAUAGUCCACCAGUCUUUGACAAGACACAAAAGCCAUCCAAUAGAGAAAGGGCAGUCAUUUCAAUAAAUGGUAGUGGGAUAAUUGGAAGAACCCCCGUAAAAACAUUAACAUAGAUAGAUGCUAUGGUAGUGGGAUAAUUGUGGAAGUACCUAUGUAAAAAUAUUAACAUAAUUAGAUAGAGAUUUUAUACUUUGUUAUAAAAAUUAACUAAAAUUGGAUCAGAAAGCUAAAUGUAAAACAAAAUAUAAAACUUUGAGAAGAAAACAUAGCAGAAAAUAUAGAUGACCUUGAGUUCCCCAAUGAGGUUUUAUUUUUUAAUUUUUUGAAAAUAUAUUUUAGUUGUACAUGGACUCAGUAUCUUUAUUUUGUUUAUUUAUUUUUAUGUGGUGCUGAGGAUUGAACUCAGUGCCUCACACAUGGGAGGCAAGCACUUUACUGCUGAGCCACAACCCAGCCCCAACACAAUGAGGUUUUAGGAGAUAACACCACCAAAGACAGAAUUAAAGAAAAUGUAGAUAAUUUAGACUUUAUUAAAGUUAAAAACUUCUGCUCUGCAAAAGACACUGUUAGAAAAAUGAAAAUGCAGGUCACAGGCUGGGAGAAAAUGUUUGGGACAUUCCUGAUAAAGGACUUAUAUAAAAAUGUACAAAGACUUCAAAACUCAAAUUUAAAAAUGGGCAAAAGAUCUGAAGAGAUAAGCCAUCAAAGCAGAUUACAGAUGGUAAAUAAGCAUAUGAAAAGACAGUCAACAUUAUUUGUCACUAGGGAAUGCAAUUUACUACACAAUAAGAUACCACCAUACCAGUUUCUGGUCUGGAACCAAAGCAACAUGAAUGCUUAUUCAUUGCUGGUACAAAUGCAAAGUGGUACAGACAGUUUGGAAGACAGUUGGCAGUUUCUUAACGAAGUUAAACAUACUCUUGCCAUAUGAUCCAGCAUUCAUGAGAUAUUCACCCAACUGCUUUGAAAAUUUAUGUCCACACAAGUUUUUGUAUUUAUACAGCUUUAGUCACAAUUGCCAAACAGUGGAAGCAACCAAGAUGUUCUUCAAUAGAGACGAAAGGGUGAGAAAACUCUGUGAUACACGGAUAUGAAAGAGGAGUAUUCAGUGAUUUUCUAAAAGUGCUAUUAAGCCACAAAAAACAUGGAUAAACCUUAAAUGCAUAUCACUAAAUGAAAGAAGCCAGUCUGCAAGGACUGAUGACAUUGUGGAAAAGGCAAAGUAUGCAGUAAAACUUAAGUAAUUGCCAGGGGUUUGAGAAGGGGAAAGGAGUUGAAUAGGCAGCAUAAGGGGUUUUCUACAAAAGUAUCUUACAAAAAUAUCACAAGGGCUGUGAUACUUUUGUAGGAUAUUUUUUUGGGGGGUACUGGGGAUUAAAUCCAGGGACACUUAACCGCUGAACCACAUCCCCAACCCAUUUUAUUUUUUAUUUAGAGACAGGGCUUGCUAAGUUACUUAGGGCCUCGCUAAAUUGCUGAAGCUGGCUUUGAACUCGUGAUCCUCCUGCUUCAGCCUCCUGAGCUGCUGCUGUAUGAUAGUUUAACGGUAGAUAUAUCACCCUUUGCAUUUGCAAAGCCCAAAGGGUAAAACUUUUUGUUUGUUUGUUCUUUUUACUUAUAUAUGGCAGUAGAAUCAAUUUUGAUAUAUUCAUACAAGCAUGGAAUAUAUGUUAUUCUAAUCAGGAUCCCAGUCUUGUGGAUGUACCAAUGUUGAGAUUUACUGGUGUAUUCAUAUAUGUACAUAGGAAAGUUACGUUAGAUUCAUUCCAUUAUCUUCCUAUUCCUAUUCCCCCAUCCCUUCCCUUCAUUCCCCUUUGUUUAACCCUCUGAACUUUUAUUACCCCUACCCCCCAGGGUGAACCUUAAUAUAUACAAAUUUUUACAAAAAUCAUUGAGGAGGUGGGGAAACCCUAGGAUGGAGUUGCAGAUUGUGACAAAUGAAUCUUAACUGUAUUUCAAAAGUAUAAAAAAUACAUACAAAUUUUAAAUCAAGCUCUUAAACUGUUUUUGACUUCUAAUUUAAUUGCACUGUUUCAGAAGACAGGUCUAUAUAUACUUUGAAAUUUGUUGAAGCUUGUUUUAUUGCCUACUACAUAAUAAAGUUUUGUAAAUGCUCCAAAUAACCUGAGGGAAAAAUUGUUUUCUCUAGUUAUUAGAUGAAGAAUUUUAUAAAUGACUAUUAGGGUAAAGCUUUCCAAUAAUGUUAUUCAAUCUAUAUAUUUGACCUCUUGAAAGAGAUGCAUUAAAAUCUCUCAUUAUUAUAUUGGAACUGUGUUUCUCCUUUUCUACGUAUUACUGUAUGAAGUCUUUGAAAACAUUUAUUAGGCCAGAUAUUUUAAAAAUUAACAGUCUUGGUGAAUGAACAUUUAUCUUUAGGUAGUGAAUCUCUCUAUUCCAAAUGAUGCUGUAUCUUGACGUUUAUUUUGUUUGCUAGUAAAAGAGGUACAUCAGCUGACUUUUGAUUCAUGUUUGCCCAAUAUAAUUUUUUUCCAUGCUUUUACUCCCUGCCUUUUCAUGACCUUGUUUUUACGUGUGUCUUACAGGGU